rnacentral:rRNA from 1 species
GAUGAACGCUGGCGGCGUGCCUAAUACAUGCGAGUCGAGCGAACGGACGAGAAGCUUGCUUCUCUGAUGUUAGCGGCGGACGGGUGAGUAACACGUGGAUAACCUACCUAUAAGACUGGGAUAACUUCGGGAAACCGGAGCUAAUACCGGAUAAUAUUUUGAACCGCAUGGUUCAAAAGUGAAAGACGGUCUUGCUGUCACUUAUAGAUGGAUCCGCGCUGCAUUAGCUAGUUGGUAAGGUAACGGCUUACCAAGGCAACGAUGCAUAGCCGACCUGAGAGGGUGAUCGGCCACACUGGAACUGAGACACGGUCCCGACUCCUACGGGAGGCAGCAGUAGGGAAUCUUCCGCAAUGGGCGAAACCCUGACGGAGCAACGCCGCGUGAGUGAUGAAGGUCUUCGGAUCGUAAAACUCUGUUAUUAGGGAAGAACAUAUGUGUAAGUAACUGUGCACAUCUUGACGGUACCUAAUCAGAAAGCCACGGCUAACUACGUG